CACUCGACAGUGGGGAGUCAGGAACAGGUGCCCCCAGGAUCUCCUAGGAGGUGGAGCGCUGGGCUUGUGGAGGGUGGCAGGUACGCCGCAGAGAGGAGACGCAUGCUCUGCCCCUCUGGUGCCACCAAGUCAGCGCCCAGAGCCUGUUGUACCAGGCCUGAUGAUGGCUCCUCACUCUCAGGCUUUGACCCCUCUCACUGUUGACCAGUAUCUGGUUG
rnacentral:lncRNA from 1 species